rnacentral:rRNA from 1 species
UGGGGAAUUUUGGACAAUGGGCGAAAGCCUGAUCCAGCAAUGCCGCGUGUGUGAAGAAGGCCUUCGGGUUGUAAAGCACUUUUGUCCGGAAAGAAAUCCUUGGCUCUAAUACAGUCGGGGGGAUGACGGUACCGGAAGAAUAAGCACCGGCUAACUACGUGCCAGCAGCCGCGGUAAUACGUAGGGUGCAAGCGUUAAUCGGAAUUACUGGGCGUAAAGCGUGCGCAGGCGGUUUGCUAAGACCGAUGUGAAAUCCCCGGGCUCAACCUGGGAACUGCAUUGGUGACUGGCAGGCUAGAGUAUGGCAGAGGGGGGUAGAAUUCCACGUGUAGCAGUGAAAUGCGUAGAGAUGUGGAGGAAUACCGAUGGCGAAGGCAGCCCCCUGGGCCAAAUACUGACGCUCAUGCACGAAAAGCGUGGGGGAGCAAAACAGGAUUAGAUACCCUGGUAGUCCACGCCCUAAAACGAUGUCAACUAGUUGUUGGGGAUUCAUCUCCUUAGUAACGUAGCUAACGCGUGGAAGUUGACCGCCUGGGGAGUACGGUCGCAAGAUU